UUAGGCGAGAUCGUGAGGAAGGGAAAUGAGGAGAGGAAUGGGGGGAGGGGAGGGUAAGAGAGAGGAGAAAAAGUGCCAAAUACGCGAAACACACGCGCAACGUAUUUUUGUAAAUCUGGUUUCAUACGUAAGGCUAGAGUCGUGCGGCGAGACGUCGAACUGCCCGAACUGCCGAUUUUAUAUAAGAACACGUUUAAGAGACACGCACACAAAACACGCAACGCAUACGAUGACACACAUACACACACACACACACACACACACACACAUUUAACACACUCUAUAAUAUCGUACUCGUACACGCGGGUUGCACGCGUGCGUACGUUCGAGGAGAGCUUCGUUUCUGACUGACAACGCUUUCGUUCAUCGUCUACCGUCACUUGUAAAUAUAGGUUUUUGUAUAAAACAGAAACGAAAGUGUGAUCCCCCACGAAUGAAUUCGAACCACCUCCUCUCUAACCACCCAUUUUCUCAAACUCUCGAACUACUUUCCUUAGAUCGAUCUUAAGUGAUCCCGAUUUAAAACGCGAACUAUGCACGCGUGCAAACACAGUGUGCAAGCGCAUACAUACAAAUACAUACACACAUACACAAACACGCAUACACAUAUAUCGCGACCGAAGGAAGAAAUACCCUCCCUCGUCGAACGCAUUUUUGCCUCGCUAGCAAGCUGAGGAAACACGAAAGGAAGCGAAAGAAGCGGU